GAUGAAGAACGCAGCGAAAUGCGAUAAGUAAUGUGAAUUGCAGAAUUCAGUGAAUCAUCGAAUCUUUGAACGCACAUUGCGCCCGCCAGCAUUCUGGCGGGCAUGCCUGUUCGAGCGUCAUUUCAACCCUCGAGCCCCCCCGGGGGCCUCGGUGUUGGGGGACGGCACACCAGCCGCCCCCGAAAUGCAGUGGCGACCCCGCCGCAGCCUCCCCUGCGUAGUAGCACACACCUCGCACCGGAGCGCGGAGGCGGUCACGCCGUAAAACGCCCAACUUUCUUAGAGUUGACCUCGGAUCAGGUAGGAAUACCCGCUGAACUUAAGCAUAUCAAUAAGCGGAGAA
rnacentral:misc_RNA from 1 species